UGGAGCAAUCCAUGAGUAAAGCGGCGCACGGGUGAGUAACACGUGACUAACCUACCCUCGAGUGGGGAAUAACUUCGGGAAACCGAGGCUAAUACCGCAUAAUACCCACGGGUCAAAGGAGCAAUUCGCUUGAGGAGGGGGUCGCGGCCGAUUAGUUAGUUGGCAGGGUAACGGCCUACCAAGACGAUGAUCGGUAUCCGGCCUGAGAGGGCGCACGGACACACUGGAACUGAAACACGGUCCAGACUCCUACGGGAGGCAGCAGUGGGGAAUUUUGCGCAAUGGGGGAAACCCUGACGCAGCAACGCCGCGUGGAGGAUGAAGUCCUUCGGGACGUAAACUCCUUUCGAUCGGGACGAUAAUGACGGUACCGGAAGAAGAAGCCCCGGCUAACUUCGUGCCAGCAGCCGCGGUAAUACGAGGGGGGCGAGCGUUGUUCGGAAUUAUUGGGCGUAAAGGGUGCGUAGGCGGUUUGGUAAGUCUCGUGUGAAAUCUACAGGCUCAACUUGUAGUCUGCACGAGAAACUGCCGGGCUUGAGUGUGGGAGAGGUGAGUGGAAUUCCUGGUGUAGCGGUGAAAUGCGUAGAUAUCAGGAGGAACACCUGUGGCGAAAGCGGCUCACUGGACCAUAACUGACGCUGAUGCACGAAAGCUAGGGGAGCAAACAGGAUUAGAUACCCUGGUAGUCCUAGCCCUAAACGAUGACUGCUUGGUUGUUGGCGGGUACCCAAUCCCGCCGUGCCGUAGCUAACGCGUUAAGCAGUCCGCCUGGGGAGUACGGUCGCAAGGCUGAAACUC
rnacentral:rRNA from 1 species